GCCACUAGCAGCAGCUGCUCGAGAUCCAGCGGGACAGCAGUCUGCAAGACCGAGCGGCAACUAGUUUUUGUCAAUUGCUAGUUGCAAGACCCAGCGGGACAGUUAGUUUGUACUAUAUUUUUUUUGAUAACUUAUGUUAGUUUGACCGAGCGGCAACUAGUUGCGGAAUGCUUCCUGGUAGUUUCUGUCAAUUGCUUAGUUUGGACAAACAUGUUGCUAAAACUUGUACUUUUCUGUGAAUUGUUCUUGUGAAAUGCCACUUAGUUUUCACUGCUUUUUAUCUGUGUUUGAAAUAAAUAGAUCCACUAGCAGUUUUUUAAAUUCCCAUGAUCCUUGAUUUAUUUGUUUCAUCCACUGCUAGGUUGAAAUGGAGGACAAGAUAAAUGCUGGUGAACUGGUGGUGAAGAAUCUAACAUCAAGUGAUCUUAGGGAGCUUGUACUGUGUUAUGUUACGGAUCUCUUGAAGCCUAUGCACUUGCUGUUUAUAAUGCUAUUGUAAUAGAUUUGAAGGUUGACAAGGAUCUAUUUUUGAGUUUCCUUAAGUUUUAUGGUGACCAGGACAUGUUGUGUUAAUGUAAUGGAAAUUGAGUUAAUCAAAUUGUUUGGCUAUAUGAGUUUU
rnacentral:lncRNA from 1 species